CCUACGGGGGGCAGCAGUGGGGGAUCUUGCACAAUGGGGGGAACCCUGAUGCAGCGACGCCGCGUGGGUGAAGAAGCGCCUCGGCGCGUAAAGCCCUGUCAGCAGGGAAGAAAAUGACGGUACCUGACGAAGAAGCCCCGGCUAACUACGUGCCAGCAGCCGCGGUAAUACGUAGGGGGCAAGCGUUAUCCGGAUUUACUGGGUGUAAAGGGGGCGCAGACGGCGAUGCAAGCCAGGAGUGAAAGCCCGGGGCCCAACCCCGGGACUGCUCUUGGAACUGCGUGGCUGGAGUGCAGGAGGGGAAGGCGGAAUUCCUGGUGUAGCGGUGAAAUGCGUAGAUAUCAGGAGGAACACCGGUGGCGAAGGCGGCCUGCUGGACUGCAACUGACGUUGAGGCCCGAAAGCGUGGGGAGCAAACAGGAUUAGAUACCCCUGUAGUC
rnacentral:rRNA from 1 species